rnacentral:rRNA from 1 species
UACGUAGGGUGCAAGCGUUGUCCGGAAUUAUUGGGCGUAAAGAGCUCGUAGGCGGUUUGUCGCGUCGAAUGUGAAAACCCGGGGCUCAACCCCGGGCCUGCAUUCGAUACGGGCAGACUAGAGUUCGGUAGGGGAGUCUGGAAUUCCUGGUGUAGCGGUGAAAUGCGUAGAUAUCAGGAGGAACACCUGUGGUGUAGACAGCUUACUGGACCACUUCUGACGCUGAGACACGAAAGCGUGGGUAGCAAACAGG